rnacentral:rRNA from 1 species
UACGGGGGGGGCAAGCGUUGUUCGGAAUUACUGGGCGUAAAGGGCUCGUAGGCGGCCAACUAAGUCAGACGUGAAAUCCCCAGGCUUAACCUGGGAACUGCGUCUGAUACUGGAUGGCUUGAAUUCGGGAGAGGGAUGCAGAAUUCCAGGUGUAGCGGUGAAAUGCGUAGAUAUCUGGAGGAAUACCGGUGGCGAAGGCAGCCCCCUGGGUCGAUACUGACGCUCAUGCACGAAAGCGUGGGGAGCAAACAGG